rnacentral:hammerhead_ribozyme from 1 species
AUCCAUUGACGAGUCCCGGACAGGACGAAAUGUGCAUCCUGGAU